GGGCCUGUAACUCAGAUGGUUAGAGUGCCCGGCUCAUAACCGGGUUGUCACUGGUUCAAAUCCUGUCAGGCCCA
rnacentral:tRNA from 1 species